rnacentral:lncRNA from 1 species
ACCCGGCUGUACAUUUUCCAGGUUCACCCUGGAAAUGAUGCUGGAAAUACCUGGUAUUACAUGGUAAUCCAUGGAAAUCCCUGGUAAAUGAUGACUUUUCCAUAUUCUGUUACAUGAAAUGUGGUAUAAUUUCCAUGUAAUGCGGAAUUUUAUUUCCAGCCUUUUCCAGCAUAGGCUGGACUAUGAUGGAAAGAGGCUGGACAACAAGGGUAAAAGGCUGGAAACCUCUGGAAAUGAUUCCAUGGCAACAUGGAAAGUGGAACUUAGUAAUUUUUAAGGCUGGAAAAAUAUGGAAAAAACUUUGGAAUUUUACAGACCACCAUGGAAAGAACUUAGUUAUUUUUUAAUCAAAAUAACUGAGGAAUAAAUUUAAAAUGCUUCUUUUUCAGUCCAGGGUGGUAAAGGCUGAUCAUGACUAUUGCAAGCUUGCAGAAAGCUUACGCAAGCUUGCGUAUAUUAACAUACAGAAUUCUGCAAGCUUGCGAUAGCUUUGCAAGCUUGUGCAAGCUUUUUUAGUUGCAAGCUUGCGCAAGCUUUUUCUGUUAAAGCUGGACUUAGAAAAUUUCAUGCCAGUUGUAAGGUGGGAAGCAGUAAAAAAUUCUAAGUUGAGAAACAUGGAAAAAAUCUAUAAAAAUCAUUAUUUGAUGAAGAUUUAUUUUUAUUUUAACAUAUUGGUAUUCAAAUUAAAUGACAUGAAACAAAGAAUCUAAAUAUCAGGUAAACAUUUAUUUUUUCUACAUAUGUCUAUAUAAGGGCAUGUCACACUAAAUACCAAAACUAUCAAUUUGUCUGUAGCAUGCACAAUAUAAAUAAGACAAUAAAAUAUGACAAAAAAAUAUCUUUAACACUUUUUUAUACAUUUUAUGUUGAGAAUGUCUGAAUUGGUCAUACAGAGAAAACUGUACAAGUGUACAUGUAAGUAUAUAAGUCAUAUGGAAUAAUAUAUGAUAUACAGGUGAUAUUCUCUUAACUUUUACUCAGUAGCAAAGCUGCCAUUUUUAGAGGAUGGGGUUAGUUAUAUAUAAUCUGACAAUUUUUUUUUCAAAUUUUUCUGUCCAGAAAGAGGAAAUCAGCUGAAAUCCUUGAAAUUUUAAACUAAUAUUAAAAUUUAUUGAAAUAUCAUGCUUUUUUUUUCUCCUAGAAAACAACAGCUGCAGCAGUAAUUGCAUGAAAUAGUACAAUUCUUUUCACCAAUUCAUUAAAAGUUACCUGGCAAAGGGAUUCCUAGAUAAGUGAUAAAUCAUUUGGGUCUAUUAAUCUACUACAGUGUAUGUAUAUUGCUUGUCUCACUACAGGAGAUUAUCUCAUGCAGACUGAUAAGAUCUGGCACAUGCUUUAUAUUUAGAAACUCAUAACAAGAGAUCAACCAAUGAAAAUAAAGACAGGGAACUACUUCUGGGGGCUGUACAUGUACCACAAAAAGUAAUCCAUAGUUUUUUCUGCUUUAUAUCAGAGUAAUCUUCAAAAUUUAUGAGUAUGUGAUUGAAUGGAAUAAAAUCUUCCUCUAGUAUAAAAAUAUUUUAACAUCAUAGAUGUAUCAUUACCUUCAUUAGCUCACUGUAAAUGGCACAUUUGCCCAAGAAUAUCAAAAUUUCAAAUCUACACAGGAAGUUCUUUGACAGAGAGCAGAAUAGAGUAAAUAUUUGGGAGAGUGUUUCCCUAAAUAUUUUACUAUGUGCAUCUUAUUUCAUCUUGGAAGUUAACAGUAAUUAACAGAAUGCACCAGGUAUAGCAUCAUAUUUGUAUAUAAAGUAUCAGCACACAUGAAUGAACUGAGACCUUAUUAGUGACCCAAUGUACUGUGUUCAAAGGCUCCAUCCAACAGUUCAAAGACAUGUCAUAGCAGUGGAGCAAAUGAUGGCUUUGUGGUGGUUAGUGAAAAACUGUGGCAAUCUACAUUGGUGGUGGCAAACACUGACAGAAAAUUUCUGGACCAGCAGUGACAUUAAGUUGAAAAUAAUGACAUAUUUUACACUGUACUGAAGAUGUAAUUGCGAAAAUUAUUCAAGAAAUAAUAUAUCUCAUUCAGUGAUUUGUCGCUGAAUAAAUCAUUGUUUGGAGUUCAGAUGCGAAGGAAUUAUAUCACGAGGGCGCAACAUUACUGAAAGGAUUUUCUUCAAACUUUCACAAGUGAACAAUCUUGACUGGUAGAUACAACUACAGUUACAUUGCAUCCAAAAUCAGUGACACAGAAACCGGUAGGGGACUAUGUAUUGCCUUGCAAUACUUCAGCACCUUGUUUUAUAUGUGUAACCUGUAAAUGAUUAUUGGUGUGUUUUAUAAAGUUAAGAAGUCCUGGAUGAAAUUUUUAGUUUUUAAUUUCAGCCUCACCUAUGGACAUGCACUGCUUAGGGGAGCUCAUUUGUGAUCAUCCUUUGUCCAAGACCGUGAAUCAAACCUACAACCUGCUGCACACAGCAUUUUCAUUUAGGAUAUAAUCAUAUGGGGUAUAACUUUUUGCUAUUUCAGGGCCCUUAGAACUAGGCUGGAAUAUUUUCCAGGUUAUACCAGGCUCAUUUUCCAGCAUUCCCUGGAAAAUUUACCAUGGUAAAACCUGGAACAUUUUCCAGCCUAAUCCAGGCUAUGCUGGAAAAUGUUCCAGGCUUUUCAAGACUUUGGUUAAAAAAUGGUCCGAAUACUCCAGGUUCAUGGAAAAACAUGGAAUUUUAUUCCUGGCAGCCUGGAAGAUGUUCCAGAUUUUACCAUGGUAUAUUUUCCAGGGAUGCUGGUAUAUCAUGGUACAUAUUCCAGCCUUGGCUUUUUCAAAUUUUCCGCAUUGAUAAUUUGGUUAGGCUGGUAAAGGCUGGAAACUUAGUCCGAAUACUCCAGGCUUUUCCUUUCCAUGGAAUUCCAUGGUAAACCCUGGAACUAUUUCACCC